rnacentral:lncRNA from 10 species
UCUACACAUGUGGGUGUCAAAAUCACCCUUAGUGUCUUUUUGUUUCUGAAAUCUGUGGGCUGCUACAAUGUUAGCUCCCAGUUACUCUCCUGGCCUUGAGCAUCUUAUUUCUGACAUCUCUUGAUAUGCUAUUUCCCUAUUUAAAACAAUACAAAACAAAACCAAAUCUUUUUGGAUAUAUUUUAUCCAGCAUGUACUUGUGGGGGAGGGGCAUCUGUGUCAGCACAAUCUACCAUAUAUAAAGUGAGAAAAGAGCAAAGGACUGGCCCCUGGAGAAUACUAACAUUUAAGAAGUGGUGGAAGAAAAUGAGCCCUUCUGAAUCUACAUUUCGAUCUAUCAGCUAAUGAGGAAUGAAGGUUCAGCAAGAUGCUUUUCAACAUCUAGUGCUUAUGCGAGAAGAAAGGAGUAUCUGAAUUGGAGCUGUUAUGAAAAAUCCAGGAUACGAGGCCACUGCAAGCAC